ensembl:lncRNA
GGGGGCCGCACAGCUGACAGCAGCCCCCUCAGCCCAGCAGGCAUGUGGGUCAGGGCGCCACGCUGGGGAAGGUGGGCAGAUGGCAUCCCGCGCUCCCAGGCCUGCUUGGGUGGAGACAGCUCGGGAGGCUCGGGCUUCAGGAGCUGGGGAGGGGCAGCCACAGUCUGCACGGGGAGGGAGCCCCACCAACGGGGUCAGGGAGCGCCCCAGCGGAGAGCCCCGGUAGCCGUGGAGACCAAGGCAGAGCAGCCCGGAAGGAUGGCAGCCCCAGGGGAGCAGACCACGACCCAGCGCCCAGGAAGAAAGGGUCUCAGCAGAGGGGGUCUCGCUGCCGACGCGUGACACAAACAGAACGGGCCGGUGACGAGUGCAGCGCACCCAGGGCAGGAGAGGGCUGCGCUCCUGCGCCCGCCUUCCAGCUGAACACUGAGGAGCAGGGCUGCGCUGUCCUCGGAGCAGAGCAGCGAGGGGCUGGCCCACAGCCUGGCUGCAGGGGACAGCAGCAAGGAUCCGACGCUCUCGGAUGCCAAGCUAGCUGUGUGUAGUCCUGCUGCACCCGCGAUCCAGGAGCAGAGCUCUGGAUACAGUGCACUGCCUGCUUCCGGCGCCUCGGCCACAGCCAGCCACAACCAGCCUGGGCACCGCCCACCACCGCUCCAAGUCCCGGCGCUCCUCAGGCUGACUGGGAAGGCCUCUUCGAGGGGGCAGGGAAAGGGAGAGGGGAGGGAGAGAGAGCGAGCGCCUGUGCUGGUGCAGGGCAGAGGCUGUGGAGGCACUCGGCAGUUCUUGGGGCAUCAGGAAAGGAAAGGUCAGCAGCACUGGGGAUCCAUGCAGGGGUCCUGUCUCCACAGCAGUUCAAGGAAAACACAGAAAACAAACACGAAAAGCCAUGUGGGGCUCUGGUCAGUCACAAGACAGAGGUCUCUUGGGGCUCUGAAACUGACCUUCGCUGCUCGCUGCUCCAUGCUAGCUGCUCAGACACAGCUCAGGCACAGCAGAGCAUCGGCUCACAGCCCUGCCUCCCGCCCAUCUGCAGUCCCAGGCCAGCAGGGCUCGGAGCGGAAACAGGAGGAAGGUGGAUGCUCCUUGUCAGCCGCUGGAAGGGACAACUUUCCUUAGGACAACUGCAGUUUAGAGGAGGGAGGGUUGUUUGGCUCAUGGUUUCUGCGGUUUCAGUUCAUAGCCCUUGGUUCCAAGACAGGAACCUUGUGGUGGAGGAGAGCUGCUUGCAGCCCGGCAGCCAGGAGCAGAGAGGCGGGCCCUGGGGUCGAGGCUUGGCCCAUGUCCACUCUCCACAGCCCCCAGCUCCUCAGCUGUGAACUUGUCAGUGGGUCAAUCCAACCCGAGGAUCCAUCCCCUUCCGAAGGCGCCUCCAGGGGACAUUCCGGCUCCAAAUUGUAACACGCACUACUCACAGGGCCUGACCUCCGAGGCAGCUGGGAGGAGGCUCUUUCUCGUGUGGGCAGUGGGUUGUGGGCCGCGACUCCCUCCCCUCUCCUGGGUCCCUCCAACUUCACUCCGCCCUUGCCAU